GCCGCAUUGGCGUAGUGGUAUGCGCGCCCCACUUGUAUCGAGCGUUUCGCUCCGAGCAAUGGGGAGGUCACUCGUUCAACCCGGGUAUGUGGCA